rnacentral:rRNA from 1 species
GACGAACGCUGGCGGCGUGCUUAACACAUGCAAGUCGAGCGGUAAGGCCCUUUCGGGGGUACACGAGCGGCGAACGGGUGAGUAACACGUGGGUGACCUGCCCUCAGCUCUGGGAUAAGCCUGGGAAACCGGGUCUAAUACUGGAUAUGACUCCAUGACGCAUGUUGUGGGGUGGAAAGCCUUGUGCGGCUGAGGAUGGGCCCGCGGCCUAUCAGCUUGUUGGUGGGGUGANGG